AGAGUUUGAUCAUGGCUCAGAUUGAACGCUGGCGGCAUGCUUUACACAUGCAAGUCGAACGGUAACAGGCCUUCGGGCGCUGACGAGUGGCGAACGGGUGAGUAAUGCAUCGGAACGUGCCCAGUCGUGGGGGAUAACUGCUCGAAAGAGUGGCUAAUACCGCAUACGAUCUGCGGAUGAAAGCGGGGGACCUUCGGGCCUCGCGCGAUUGGAGCGGCCGAUGUCAGAUUAGGUAGUUGGUGGGGUAAAGGCUCACCAAGCCAACGAUCUGUAGCUGGUCUGAGAGGACGACCAGCCACACUGGGACUGAGACGCGGCCCAGACUCCUACGGGAGGCAGCAGUGGGGAAUCUUAGACAAUAGGCGCAAGCCUGAUCUAGCCAUGCCGCGUGAGCGAUGAAGGCCUUAGGGUUGUAAAGCUCUUUCACCGGUGAAGAUAAUGACGGUAACCGGAGAAGAAGCCCCGGCUAACUACGUGCCAGCAGCCGCGGUAAUA
rnacentral:rRNA from 1 species